GAUGAACGCUGGCGGCGUGCCUAAUACAUGCAAGUCGAGCGAACAGAUGAGGAGCUUGCUCCUCUGACGUUAGCGGCGGACGGGUGAGUAACACGUGGAUAACCUACCUAUAAGACUGGGAUAACUUCGGGAAACCGGAGCUAAUACCGGAUCAUAUAUUGAACCGCAUGGUUCAAUAGAGAAAGACGGUUUUGCUGUCACUUAUAGAUGGAUCCGCGCCGCAUUAGCUAGUUGGUAAGGUAACGGCUUACCAAGGCAACGAUGCGUAGCCGACCUGAGAGGGUGAUCGGCCACACUGGAACUGAGACACGGUCCAGACUCCUACGGGAGGCAGCAGUAGGGAAUCUUCCGCAAUGGGCGAAAGCCUGACGGAGCAACGCCGCGUGAGUGAUGAAGGCCUUCGGAUCGUAAAACUCUGUUAUUAGGGAAGAACAAAUGUGUAAGUAACUAUGCACGUCUUGACGGUACCUAAUCAGAAAGCCACGGCUAACUACGUG
rnacentral:rRNA from 1 species